CCCUUAGACGUCCUGGGCCGCACGCGUGCUACACUGAUACGUACAACAAGGUAUAUGCAUUCAUGCAUCGAUGCUGCUCCGAAAUAGACACAGCUAAAUCUUCUAAAAUACGUAUCGUGCUGCGGAUAGAUCGUUGAAAUUAUGGAUCUUGAAGGUGGAAUUCCUGGUAAGCGCGGGUCAUCAACCCGCGUUGAUUACGUCCCUGCCCUUUGUACACACCGCCCGUCGCUCCUACCAAUUUCGAGUGGCUCGGUGAACCUCUUUGGACUGUCGAGCAAUCGCGAAAUUAGAGUGAACCUGGUCACUUAGAGGAAGGAGAANUCGUAACA
rnacentral:rRNA from 1 species